AUGGUUUUCUUCAGUUGUUAUAUAGAUCUGUUUAACUCCAGCCAAAAACAAAAGACUCCUGCAGGGGCCUUCUCUCUCAUCAACUAUCCCGCAUUUUUGUCUCCAAGUCUAUUGCGUUCUCAACAUUCCUUGAGCCCCUCCAUCUUGUUUGGCAACAAUAUCCAGAGCGGGAAAGUGAUGGUAGCCGUGGGCUGUACAAAGACAGAGAGAGAACAGAGCAGAGGUGAGAGGAGAGCUGGAUUAAAGGACCUGAGAAACAGAUUUUGCCUGCAGGUCCUGGUCUGUCUCGCUCUGCAACUUUCCUUCAUCUAUCCAAAAAGAUGAGAUGGACAGUUUUUCUUUCCCUUCCCUUAAAAGGUUAAGUUCUCUUUACCUUUCCUCAUUGUCUGAGACAGUCUGUCCUCUUCCAGACACUUUCUCAUUAUCCUUCUCUUUUCUUAUCCAGUGGUUAUCGUUUACAUACUGUCUGUCAGCUUACCAUUUGAUUUGUAUGUAUCAUAUGCAGGAAAACUACAUAUUGCAGUCUCUCCACACAUAUAAACACACUUGCGUUUAGACAAAAACAAUAUUUUGUCCCUCAGCAGUGAUCCUCGAAAAACAAAGCUGCACUCUGUCGUACUGAUAUACAUAAAGCAACAUGGCCGGGGUGGAAAUGAGAAAACAGUACUGAAGAAAAUAAACCUGCAAUCCAAACACAUAUUUGGUCAAAGACAAUGCUAAAAAAAUUUUAAAUGAAAAAAGGGAAAGGGAAAAACCUUGAUGCAUGAGAUUGGAAAAAAACACUGCUGAAUAAAACGGAGAAACAGCAGUUAACAUUUGAUGAAAAAAGAAAAACUCUUUUAAUGUGAAGAAAAAAAUAUUAUCCUUGAAAAAAACAAGCCAUAGCAGCAGAUAAAAGGCACAGCCAGAGGAAAAAUACAAAGGAAAAGUGUAUAUUUGAAUCCAUUAAAACAGCAGUAGUGUUGCUGGUUAAUGCAGUGUUAUUAAUAAUUUGACUUCAAGGUAAUACAGUGAUGGUUGGUUUCAUGGAUGGAUGGAUGGAUGGGAUGUAUAUUGUGAAAAGCAUUAUACAAAAAAAAAAAAUUGAGCUGUUCAGUUUGUAGCAUUUUACAGAAGUGGUCUACAUAAAGGGAUUUUCAACCAUGGUGCAAAAGGGUGCUAGAGGUCCAUAGAAAAUGUGAAAGGAAAAAAAAAUAUCAUGUACUGUAUGUUUUAUCAAAGUUAAUUUAAAUGUUUAUAGCUCAAGAAAAAUGAAAAUUCUGUCAUCAAUCCUCAAUUCAUUCCUACCCUUAUAUCAUUCCAAACCAGUGAGACUUUCUUUCAUUUACAUUUAUACUGUACAUCUGGCAGAUGCUUUUAUCCAAACUUUGCAAUGUACAUUGACUUACAUUGCAUUCACAUUUACAUCUGAACAGGCUACAGGAGCUACAGGAAAGUGACUCAUUCAUCUUAUAAACACAAUUGAAGCUAUCUUUAUGAAGAUUGCACAUCAAAUAAUAAAACUCAGUCAUACAUGCUUGACACAAGACAACAAACCGCAUUGGUUCUCUGAUGUCAGGCAAGGGUCAGUAAAUUAUGACAGAAUUUUCUACUAUCCCAUUAAGAAAAAAGUAAAUAUGUUUAACACAAUGAUUGUUUAAUACAUUUACAAUGUAUUCUUUAAUUUUUCAUUCUGUUUGGAAAUUAUUAGAUUCACUGUGAUCAUUUGAGUUGUUACAUCUUUGUGUACUUUUACUGACAUUUUGCUUUGCAUUCUUUCCGAAGCUUUUUGAAACCCCAGUCCCUUUUUAUUGUAAUUGCAUAUGGGGGGUGCGAAAUGACCAAUAAAAUUGUUCAAAAUCCUCCUUUUGUGCUCCACACAAGAAAGGUUUUGGAAAUGACAGUUUUGGGCAAACUACUCCUUUAAAUCUUUUCAAUUCUUCUUCACACUCAUCUGCUCUCACUUUGUUGUAUUUCAUCAUUCUCUUUCUCUCGCUGGUCUCCGGAAUCUGUCUCAUCCAUGCUGCUGCUCUUGUGUCCGAUUGCCCUUCUUGUUUGUAUUUUUCCAUCUUUCUCUCUUUUUUAUCUUGGUGAAUUCAUCCCUGAGGCUGUGUAGUCGACAAGGACAGGUGGCCUGGCUGUGUGUGUCAGCGCGUGUGUUGCGCAGAUGACAGGUAAGUGUGUCUGUCUGCGUAUGUGCACACAGUCACGUGUGAGCGUGUGUCAUCUCAGUGGUGGGUCCUGAGGUUCUCACGGUGCCCUUUCAUCUCCAGGAAUGUUCUGUCAUUCCGUGUUUGUGUCAACGGCCCCCCUUGAUGCUGUCGGGGGGAGGAGAAGGGGACAGAGAGAGAGAGGCAGGAUGAGGUGAAUGGGAUGAAUAAAUUGUUUCCCAAAAUAGUUUUUUUUUCUAUUUCUAGCCCCCUACUGAGCAGUAACGAAACUUCUGUGUGAACGGCUCCUGCAUGUCAAACACAUAUAUAUAUUCCGU
rnacentral:lncRNA from 1 species